rnacentral:rRNA from 1 species
UACGUAGGGUGCAAGCGUUAAUCGGAAUUACUGGGCGUAAAGCGUGCGCAGGCGGUUAUGCAAGACAGAUGUGAAAUCCCCGGGCUCAACCUGGGAACUGCAUUUGUGACUGCAUAGCUAGAGUACGGUAGAGGGGGAUGGAAUUCCGCGUGUAGCAGUGAAAUGCGUAGAGAUGUGGAGGAACACCGAUGGCGAAGGCAGCCCCCUGGGCCAAUACUGACGCUCAUGCACGAAAGCGUGGGGAGCAAACAGG